CCUACGGGCGGCAGCAGUGGGGGAUAUUGCACAAUGGGGGAAACCCUGAUGCAGCGACGCCGCGUGGGUGAAGAAGCGCCUCGGCGCGUAAAGCCCUGUCAGCAGGGAAGAAAAUGACGGUAACUGAAGAAGAAGCCCCGGCUAACUACGUGCCAGCAGCCGCGGUAAUACGUAGGGGGCAAGCGUUAUCCGGAUUUACUGGGUGUAAAGGGGGCGCAGACGGCGAUGCAAGCCAGGAGUGAAAGCCCGGGGCCCAACCCCGGGACUGCUCUUGGAACUGCGUGGCUAGAGUGCAGGAGGGGCAGGCGGAAUGCUUGGUGUAGCGGUGAAAUGCGUAGAUAUCAGGAGGAACACCGGUGGCGAAGGCGGCCUGCUGGACUGCAACUGACGUUGAGGCCCGAAAGCGUGGGGAGCAAACAGGAUUAGAUACCCGGGUAGUC
rnacentral:rRNA from 1 species